AUUGAACGCUGGCGGCAGGCCUAACACAUGCAAGUCGAGCGGUAGCACAGAGAGCUUGCUCUCGGGUGACGAGCGGCGGACGGGUGAGUAAUGUCUGGGAAACUGCCUGAUGGAGGGGGAUAACUACUGGAAACGGUAGCUAAUACCGCAUAACGUCGCAAGACAAAAGAGGGGGACCUUCGGGCCUCUUGCCAUCAGAUGUGCCCAGAUGGGAUUAGCUAGUAGGUGGGGUAACGGCUCACCUAGGCGACGAUCCCUAGCUGGUCUGAGAGGAUGACAAGCGACACUGGAACUGAGACACGGUCCAGACUCCUACGGGAGGCAGCAGUGGGGAAUAUUGCACAAUGGGCGCAAGCCUGAUGCAGCCAUGCCGCGUGUAUGAAGAAGGCCUUCGGGUUGUAAAGUACUUUCAGCGAGGAGGAAGGCGUUAAGGUUAAUAACCUUGGCGAUUGACGUUACUCGCAGAAGAAGCACCGGCUAACUCCGUGCCAGCCGCCGCCGUAAUAC
rnacentral:rRNA from 1 species